rnacentral:rRNA from 1 species
GAUGAACGCUAGCGAUAGGCUUAACACAUGCAAGUCGAGGGGCAGCAUGGUCUUAGCUUGCUAAGACUGAUGGCGACCGGCGCACGGGUGCGUAACGCGUAUGCAACUUGCCUCACAGAGGGGGAAACCCGUCGAAAGACGGACUAAUACCGGGUACACCCUAUUUUGGGCAUCCAAGGUAGAGGAAAUGAAAUUCGCUGGGAGAUAGGCAUGCGUCCCAUUAGCUAGUUGGUGAGGUAACGGCUCACCAAGGCGACGAUGGGUAGGGGAACUGAGAGGUUGAACCCCCACACUGGUACUGAGACACGGACCAGACUCCUACGGGAGGCAGCAGUGAGGAAUAUUGGUCAAUGGGCGAGGGCCUGAACCAGCCAAGUCGCGUGAAGGAUGACUGUCUUAUGGAUUGUAAACUUCUUUUGUAGGGGAAUAAAGAGGGGCACGUGUGCCCCAGUGAAUGUACCCUACGAAUAAGCAUCGGCUAGCUCCGUG